rnacentral:misc_RNA from 1 species
CUGAGUUACAAACUCCCAAACCCGUGUGAACCUACCACUGUUGCUUCGGCGGCCACGCCCCGGGAGCCACCUGCGCCCCCCGGAUCCAGGCGUCCGCCGGAGGACCCAAACUCUUGGUUUUACAGAGGAUCUUCUGAGUACACCACAAAAUGAAUCA